rnacentral:rRNA from 1 species
ACAUGCAAGUCGAACGAAGUAGCAAUACUUAGUGGCAGACGGGUGAGUAACAUGUGGGUAUCUACCCUAUGGCCUGGAAUAACACGAGGAAACUUGUGCUAAUACUGGAUAAGUCUUUACGGAGAAAGCUUUAUGCACCAUUGGAUGAGCCCGCACUUGAUUAGUUUGUUGGUAGGGUAAUGGCCUACCAAGACUUUGAUCAAUAGCUGAUUUGAGAGGAUGAUCAGCCACAUUGGGACUGAGACACGGCCCAAACUCCUACGGGAGGCAGCAGUGGGGAAUCUUGCACAAUGGAGGAAACUCUGAUGCAGCGAUGCCGCGUGAGUGAAGAAGGCCUUUGGGUUGUAAAGCUCUUUCGUCGGGGAAGAAAAUGACUGUACCCGAAUAAGAAGGUCCGGCUAACUUCGUGCCAGCAGCCGCGGUAAUACGAAGGGACCUAGCGUAGUUCGGAAUUACUGGGCUUAAAGAGUUCGUAGGUGGUUGAAAAAGUUGGUGGUGAAAUCCCAGAGCUUAACUCUGGAACUGCCAUCAAAACUUUUCAGCUAGAGUUUGAUAGAGGAAAGCAGAAUUUCUAGUGUAGAGGUGAAAUUCGUAGAUAUUAGAAAGAAUACCAAUUGCGAAGGCAGCUUUCUGGAUCAUUACUGACACUGAGGAACGAAAGCAUGGGUAGCGAAGAGGAUUAGAUACCCUCGUAGUCCAUGCCGUAAACGAUGUGUGUUAGACGUUGG